rnacentral:misc_RNA from 1 species
CGAAGAGUUGGUUCGGGUUCUCAUGAGGAGUUUCACUGAUAAAGUGCCGUUGGUGCGGACAAUGGAUAAGUAUGUGAGAAUAUUAAGGACUGAACAUUGUUUUUUGCUUUUUGAAGAGCUUGGCAAGCGUGACAAAUGGCUUCAGUGCCUUGAGGUGUUCAGAUGGAUGCAGAAACAACGUUGGUAUAUACCUGAUAGUGGUGUUUAUUCGAAGUUGAUAUCA